rnacentral:rRNA from 1 species
CCGCCGGGAGACUGGCGGGACACCCACGUGAAUACAUAGCGUGGCGUGAGGCACACCCGGGGAACUGAAACAUCUAAGUACCCGGAGGAAGAGAAAGAAAAUUCGAUUCCCUGAGUAGCGGCGAGCGAAACGGGAACAGCCCAAACCAGGAAGCAUGCUUCCUGGGGUUGUAGGACACUCUACACGGAGUUACAAAGGGAUAGGGUAGGUGAACGACCUGGAAAGGUCGGCCAGAGAAGGUGACGGCCCUGUAGCCGAAACCCCAUCCCCUCCAGAGUGGAUCCUGAGUACGGCGGGACACGUGAAACCCCGUCGGAAUCCGGGAGGACCAUCUCCCAAGGCUAAAUACUUCCUAGUGACCGAUAGUGAACCAGUACCGUGAGGGAAAGGUGAAAAGCACCCCGCAAGGGGAGUGAAACAGAUCCUGAAACCGUAUGCCUACAAGUAGUCAGAGCCCGUUCACGGGUGAUGGCGUGCCUUUUGUAGAAUGAACCGGCGAGUUACGAUGGCGGGCGAGGUUAAGCCGAUGAGGCGGAGCCGCAGCGAAAGCGAGUCUGAACAGGGCGCAUCAGUGCGUCGUCGUAGACCCGAAACCAGGUGAUCUACCCAUGUCCAGGAUGAAGGUCAGGUAACACUGACUGGAGGUCCGAACCCACGCACGUUGAAAAGUGCGGGGAUGAGGUGUGGGUAGCGGUGAAAUGCCAAUCGAACCUGGAGAUAGCUGGUUCUCUCCGAAAUAGCUUUAGGGCUAGCCUCGAGGUGAAGAGUUCUGGAGGUAGAGCACUGAUUGGACUAGGGGCCCCCACAGGGUUACCGAAUUCAGUCAAACUCCGAAUGCCAGCAACUUGUACUCGGGAGUCAGACUGCGAGUGAUAAGAUCCGUAGUCGAGAGGGAAACAGCCCAGACCAUCAGCUAAGGUCCCCAAGUGUAUGUUAAGUGGAAAAGGAUGUGGCGCUGCACAGACAACUAGGAUGUUGGCUUAGAAGCAGCCACCAUUCAAAGAGUGCGUAAUAGCUCACUAGUCGAGUGGCGCCGCGCCGAAAAUGUAACGGGGCUAAACAUACCACCGAAGCUAUGGAUCCCGUAAGGGAUGGUAGGAGAGCGUUCCAAGCAGCAGUGAAGCGGUAUCGUGAGGAGCCGUGGAGCGCUUGGAAGUGAGAAUGCCGGUGUGAGUAGCGAAAAGAGGGGUGAGAAUCCCCUCCGUCGAAAGCCUAAGGUUUCCUGAGGAAGGCUCGUCCGCUCAGGGUUAGUCUGGACCUAAGCCGAGGCCGAAAGGCGUAGGCGAUGGACAACAGGUCGAUAUUCCUGUACCGCCGUACCACCGU